GCCGGGCGUGGUGGCUCACGCCUGUAAUCCCAGCACUUUGGGAGGCCGAGGCAGGCGGAUCACCUGAGGUCGGGAGUUUGAGACCAGCCUGACCAACAUGGUGAAACCCUGUCUCUA
rnacentral:SRP_RNA from 1 species